GUGCUAAGGUAGCAUAAUCAUUUGUCUUUUAAAUAAAGACUAGAACAAAAGAUUUAAUAUUCAAACUUUUUUAUUUUAUUUUAAUAAUUCAAAUUUUUCUAAGUGUAAAAAAACACUUAUUCUUAAGAAAGACGACAAGACCCUAUUGAACUUAACUUUAGUUUUACUGGGGCAGUAAAUUAAUUAUUAUUUUAAUUAAAAAAAUUUUUUUAAAACCCAAAACAAUUGAUUAAUUCAGUUACCAUAGGGAUAACAGCGCAAUUAUAUUUUAAAGUUCUUAUAUAAAAAAUAGAUUACGACCUCGAUGUUGAAUUAAUAACCUAAAUAAAGCAAAAUUUAAAAAAGGAAGUCUGUUCGACUUUUAAACAAUUACAUGAUUUGAGUUCAGACCGGCAUAAGCCAGGUCGGUUUCUAUCUUCUAUAAAUAUUUUUAUAGUACGAAAGGGCCUAAAAAUUUAAUUUUAUUAUUUAAAUUAGCAAAAAAAUGCAUUAGAAUUAGAAUCUAAUAAAACUUGU
rnacentral:rRNA from 1 species